GAUGAACGCUGGCGGCGUGCCUAAUACAUGCAAGUCGAGCGAACUGAUUAGAAGCUUGCUUCUAUGACGUUAGCGGCGGACGGGUGAGUAACACGUGGGCAACCUGCCUGUAAGACUGGGAUAACUUCGGGAAACCGAAGCUAAUACCGGAUAGGAUCUUCUCCUUCAUGGGAGAUGAUUGAAAGAUGGUUUCGGCUAUCACUCACAGAUGGGCACGCGUUGCAUUAGCUAGUUGGUGAGGUAACGGCUCACCAAGGCAACGAUGCAUAGCCGACCUGAGAGGGUGAUCGGCCACACUGGGACUGAGACACGGCCCAGACUCCUACGGGAGGCAGCAGUAGGGAAUCUUCCGCAAUGGACGAAAGUCUGACGGAGCAACGCCGCGUGAGUGAUGAAGGCUUUCGGGUCGUAAAACUCUGUUGUUAGGGAAGAACAAGUACGAGAGUAACUGCUCGUACCUUGACGGUACCUAACCAGAAAGCCACGGCUAACUACGUGCCAGCAGCCGCCGUAAUAC
rnacentral:rRNA from 1 species